rnacentral:rRNA from 1 species
AAUGCGUAGAUAUCCGCAGGAACAUCCGAGGCGAAAGCGGCUCGCUGGAUCACAACUGACGCUGAGGGACGAAAGCUAGGGGAGCAAACAGGAUUAGAUACCCUGGUAGUCCACGCCCUAAACGAUGGCAACUAGGUGUUGGGGAAGCGAUUUCCUGGUACCGCAGCUAACGCGUGAAGUUGCCCGCCUGGGGAGUACGGUCGCAAGAUUAAAACUCAAAGGAAUUGACGGGGACCCGCACAAGCGGUGGAUGAUGUGGAUUAAUUCGAUGCAACGCGAAUAACCUUACCUACCCUUGACAUGUACGGAACCCUGCAGAGAUGUGGGGGUGCUUGAAAGAGAGCCGUAACACAGGUGCUGCAUGGCUGUCGUCAGCUCGUGUCGUGAGAUGUUGGGUUAAGUCCCGCAACGAGCGCAACCCUUGUCCCUAGUUGCUACGCAAGGGCACUCUAGGGAGACUGCCGGUGACAAACCGGAGGAAGGUGGGGAUGACGUCAAGUCCUCAUGGCCCUUAUGGGUAGGGCUUCACACGUCAUACAAUGGCCGGUACAGAGGGUUGCCAAAGCGCGAGCUGGAGCCAAUCCCCAUAAAAGCCGGUCGUAGUCCGGAUUGCAGUCCGCAACUCGACUGCAUGAAGUCGGAAUCGCUAGUAAUCGCGGAUCAGCAUGUCGCGGUGAAUACGUUCCCGGGUCUUGUACACACCGCCCGUCACACCAUGGGAGCGGGAUGUACCAGAGGUAGGUAGGCUAACCGCAAGGGGGCCGCUACCACG